CUCUUCACAUGGACACACAUGAAAUUUGGUGCGGUGACUCGUAUCGGGGGACCUCCCUUGGGAGAUCAAUCCCCUGUCCUCCUGUUUUUUGCUCCAUGAGGAAGAUCCACCUACGACCUCAGGUCCUCAGACCAACCAGCCCAAGAAACAUCUCACCAAUUUCAAAUCCUCAUCAACAUCUCCAGUCUCAUCAUGGGAGACACUCAUCCAGAAGCAAAUCUCAGCCAACAGGAGCGGAGCCAACGUGGGUGGCUGCAACUGCAGUAAGAUUGCCACCAUUCGGGGGCCAGCCAGGAUCUCAUGCCUAGUGCUGCUUUGGUGGCUAUGAUGGACCAUUUCAACAGGUGACCACAUGGAGAAUUGAGCAACAUAUUCUUAUGGAAACAGCACCUGUACAGGGAAAGGCACAGUAUGUGGGGAAACACAGGAAACAACACAGAGGAAGAAGAAGCACUUGAGGAGACAGUGUUCCUCUGAGCUCGGCGUGCUGUGUUGUCUGCUGGGCGGCUGGCGGAGGACCAGGGCACAGAGCAGUAUUUAACUGCUCAGCUCUUGCUCUGAACAGCUGAGCUAUAAAUGCUCAUACCUCAGCCGAAGAAUAAGCAACCUAAUCUUAACUUGUAUUCCAGUAAAAAUAAAAAUACGUUGGGUUGGAAGAAA
rnacentral:lncRNA from 1 species